rnacentral:rRNA from 1 species
CCUACGGGGUGCAGCAGUGGGGAAUAUUGGACAAUGGGCGAAAGCCUGAUCCAGCCAUGCCGCGUGUGUGAAGAAGGCCUUCGGGUUGUAAAGCACUUUCAGUGGGGAAGAAAGCCUUGGGGCUAAUACCCUCGAGGAAGGACAUCACCCACAGAAGAAGCACCGGCUAACUCCGUGCCAGCAGCCGCGGUAAUACGGAGGGUGCGAGCGUUAAUCGGAAUUACUGGGCGUAAAGCGCGCGUAGGCGGUCUGAUAAGCCGGUUGUGAAAGCCCCGGGCUCAACCUGGGAACGGCAUCCGGAACUGUCAGGCUAGAGUGCAGGAGAGGAAGGUAGAAUUCCCGGUGUAGCGGUGAAAUGCGUAGAGAUCGGGAGGAAUACCAGUGGCGAAGGCGACCUUCUGGACUGACACUGACGCUGAGGUGCGAAAGCGUGGGUAGCAAACAGGAUUAGAUACCCGUGUAGUC